rnacentral:rRNA from 1 species
UACGUAGGGUGCGAGCGUUAAUCGGAAUUACUGGGCGUAAAGCGUGCGCAGGCGGUUUUGUAAGCCGGAUGUGAAAUCCCCGGGCUUAACCUGGGAAUGGCAUUCGGGACUGCAAGGCUGGAGUGCGGCAGAGGAGACUGGAAUUCCUGGUGUAGCAGUGAAAUGCGUAGAUAUCAGGAAGAACACCGAUGGCGAAGGCAGGUCUCUGGGCUGACACUGACGCUCAUGCACGAAAGCGUGGGGAGCAAACAGG